CGGUCCCCCCGCAACGAUUACCCGUGAACCUGGUCAGAGCCGGAAGGCAGCAGCCACAGCGGGAACAUUGUGUGCCGGGGUGUGGCUGG
rnacentral:SRP_RNA from 2 species